CGCGUUCUGUGGUCGGGGUCUCAACGGCAGCACAGAUAACGUGAUGUCCCUACUGUGGGAAAGUAUCCAACAGGGAUGCGGGUGGCGAAGGCAGCGCCCAAGAUACGCACGGCUACCGGGU
rnacentral:sRNA from 12 species